GGCAAUCGUCUGGUUUACUCACUGUGGGGUCAUGCUCCGGUUCAAAGUCCGGGUCGGCGCCAUCUUGGAUUUGAGUGUCGGCAAUUUUAGACUGCGGCGUGCGAGCCGCAAAGAAGGAUGAUUUAUCUUUUGCCUCCGCGCUUUUUUUCCCCCGGUGCUGGGACAUCGUGCCUGCGGUGUGGGACUGGGGAAUCACCCGUUUUGGCUGCUUUGUGCCGCUUAGAAGAGCCCGAGUCAGCGGAGCUCACUUAGUGUGCGUCCAUCGCACUCGAUGUCCGGCCACGCCCCCA